GGGAAGAGGAAUUUAUUAUGCCGAGGGGGAAGGUGAGCCUUUGGGAAGGGGUGAGCUAGAUUGGCAAGGACAUUUUGAUUACAUUAAGGGCAUACUGUAUGAGAUUAUGCACCGUUAUUUAUAGAGUUAUAAUCGUUUUAGUUAUUUAUAUGUACAGUUUUAUACGAAUUGGAUGCGUUAUACAGUAUUAGUGUAUUUUAAUAACAGGUGUGAGAGAGGCUGGACUAGGAAACGACUAUUUCUUUCAGCCCAAGUAACUUUCAGCCAAGUUGUAGAAUUUUUCAUUGUUUAGUGAAUAAAGCCCAUUCUGGUUUAAUUUGUGCGGUGUGGUGGUUUAUUUGAGCAGAGAUACGCAGACAGUGGAACUAAGUGAAGAAUUUGAUCAGAGACGCCUCAAUCCAUUGCAUUCCGCAGGUUGGUAAUCUCAAAACCCAUGUCCUUUCUCAGAAUUUUUCACCUUUUAACGCACGGUGUGUCCUGUUCUUGAUGUGGCAGGGCGGAGCAGUGUUUGUCAGUCAUAGAACAAAGGAUUAGUAUAGGAGAUUUAUAACUGCUAAUUAAUCUGCUAAUAUUUACAGAGCUCAUGUGAUGUGAACUAAAAGACGUAAAAUAAGAAGCCUCGUUGGGAAACGCAGAGACUCUGACUUAUUCAAUGUUUUGCCACGUUUAAGGAUAAUGGCGAUGGUAUAAAAACACACGUGUGGAUCCUUCAUUCCGCUCUUGAAAUAUGGCUUAAAAUAUCUUUUUUUAAAUUAGGUUUUGGCCAGGAGGAUGUCACGGGAGAUGCUCAGUUAUGGCAAACAAAGUGCGUUCCUGGUGGUUUUAUUGGUAAAAACUUUUCAAACGUUGGCAUGUCCUGAUCUUUGUGAGUGUUCGGUUGCAAGAGUGGAUUGCAAUGGAAAACGUUUUUACUUUAUUCCGGAAACCAUGGACCAUAAAACAGACAGCAUAUUACUGGCCUUCAAUGAAAUAUCUAGCGUUCAAUCGAUGGCUUUCUCAGCGUUCCAUCUUCUUACACACCUGGAGCUGCAGAACAACCUCCUGUCCAGAAUACACAGGAAUGGCUUCCACGGCCUGCGCAACCUGAGCUACCUCGACUUGAGCAGCAACCGACUAACGUCCAUUACGCCCGAUGUUUUUACCCCCCUGUCCAGGCUGACCAAACUCAACCUGGGAAACAACCGGCUCUCCCAGCUGCCUGCAAAUAUCCUGCUGCCGUUAGUACAUUUGCAAAGCCUUUAUUUGUACAAUAAUGCCCUGAACGGGCUCCAGGUCGAGGUCUUGACCUGCGCUCCAGCGCUAACAGAACUGCGACUGGAUGGGAACCCCUGGGCCUGUACCUGUCAGAUUCAACACAUGGUGUCUUGGAUGAUCGAGAACGGGCAAAUAAUGAAAGGUAAGCGGUGUUAUUAAGGUGAUAGAAUCGCAUUAUAUAGAGAUCAUUUUGCAAGCCCUCCCCUCUUUUCAGUCUGUGUGGAAAGAUGACCAAUUACUGGGAGGGCUUUGAUUUUAAGCCACUUCCAAGUGUGCGUGCUCGGCCCUAGGGGGCAGGGGUGCUGAGGUACACUGAGCUCCAUGGACGCUCGCUCACAGACUCACUGUGACUUGGGGGAGAAGGCAGACACGCUCUAACAGCAUCGGAAAGUUAACCUGCAUGCUGGGGGAGGGGGAGAGAGGGGGGUCUCUGCAAAUAUUUAUAAAAGUGUAAAUUUCAAACAGAAAUCAGUACUUUUAUAAAUUGCAAUUAUGAGUGUACACUGAUCAGCCACAACAUUAAACCUACUGCCUGGUGAAGUGAAUAACAUUGAUUAUCGUUACAAUGGCCCCUGUCACGGGGUGGGAUAUAUUAGGCAGUAAGUGAACAGUCGGUUCUUGAAUUUCACGUGUUGGAAGCAGGAAAAAUGGGCAAGUGAGACCAUCUGGGUGACUUUGACACAUAUCACCUACCUAGAGAUAGUUGCAGACCACGUACACUCCUUAAUGGCAAUAGUGUUACCUUGGCCUCCAAAUUCCCCAGCUCUCAAUCAGAUUGACCAUCUGUGGGAUGUGCUC